rnacentral:rRNA from 1 species
GUACGGCCGCAAGGUUAAAACUCAAAUGAAUUGACGGGGGCCCGCACAAGCGGUGGAGCAUGUGGUUUAAUUCGACGCAACGCGAAGAACCUUACCUGGCCUUGACAUCCUGCGAACUUUCUAGAGAUAGAUUGGUGCCUUCGGGAACGCAGUGACAGGUGCUGCAUGGCCGUCGUCAGCUCGUGUCGUGAGAUGUUGGGUUAAGUCCCGUAACGAGCGCAACCCCUAUCCUUGGUUGCUAGCAGUUCGGCUGAGAACUCCAGGGAGACUGCCGGUGACAAACCGGAGGAAGGUGGGGAUGACGUCAGGUCAUCAUGGCCCUUACGGCCAGGGCUACACACGUGCUACAAUGGCGCGCACAGAGGGCUGCAAACCCGCGAGGGUAAGCCAAUCUCUUAAAACGCGUCGUAGUCCGGAUCGCAGUCUGCAACUCGACUGCGUGAAGUCGGAAUCGCUAGUAAUCGCGAAUCAGAAUGUCGCGGUGAAUACGUUCCCGGGCCUUGUACACACCGCCCGUCACACCAUGGGAGUGGAUUGCACCAGAAGUGGUUAGUCUAACCUUCGGGAGGACGAUCACCACGGUGUGGUUCAUGACUGG